GAUGAACGCUAGCGGCAGGCCUAAUACAUGCAAGUCGAGGGAGAAGUUGUCUUCGGAUGACAGGAACCGGCGAACGGGUGCGUAACACGUAUGCAAUCUGCCCCUGACUGGAGCAUAGCCCGGGGAAACUCGGAUUAAUACUCCAUAACAUUAUGAAAUGGCAUCAUUUUAUAAUCAAAGUUCCGGCGGUCAGGGAUGAGCAUGCGGCCCAUUAGCUAGUUGGUGAGGUAAUGGCUCACCAAGGCUACGAUGGGUAGGGGGUCUGAGAGGAUGAUCCCCCACACUGGUACUGAGACACGGACCAGACUCCUACGGGAGGCAGCAGUAGGGAAUAUUGGGCAAUGGACGAAAGUCUGACCCAGCCAUGCCGCGUGCAGGAUGACUGCCCUAUGGGUUGUAAAGCUCUUUCAGCAGGAACGAAACGGUGGUCCCUAAUACGGACUACUAAUGACGGUACCUGAAGAAGAAGCACCGGCUAACUACGUG
rnacentral:rRNA from 1 species